AGAGCAGGAUCGAGUGACUUCCGCUGCCUGAUAUUAUUUCCAGGGCGUCGCUGCGUCAUUUCCUCCUCUUCUUCAGGACUGUCUUCGGUGGAGGCAGGUCCAACGGCAUCAUGGUUCAACUCCGACCCCUCACCAAACCUAAAAUCCUCAAGAAAAGGACCAAGAAGUUCAUCAGACAUCAGUCCGACCGCUAUGUCAAGAUCAAG